CACCCACAAAGACUCUAGGCCUCACUGUGGAAAAACUAAUUAAACUAAUGUGAAGUCUACGGAUGGAGGCAUUUUUAUAACAUGAUGUUCCAAAUAAAGGUUAGAAAAUAAAACAAACAUUCAUUUUCUGUCAGGAGACCACACAAGAAAAAUGUAGCUGCAGAAAGUGUUUGCUUGGAGGAAGUUAGAAGAACGCGUGUCCAAAAUCAAGCUUGGUAUGGAAAGCCAGUGUCUAUGGAACAGAAUGUCUGGUAUCGAUGUCGGGAUCAUCUUGAAGUUCUGGAGAAAAAACAACAACCGAAAAGAAUUUCUAGCUAUGGUUGUGAAAGACGAUUAUCACAGCAUAUGA
rnacentral:lncRNA from 1 species